rnacentral:rRNA from 1 species
UACGAAGGGGACUAGCGUUGUUCGGAAUUACUGGGCGUAAAGCGCACGUAGGCGGAUUUGUUAGUCAGGGGUGAAAUCCCGGGGCUCAACCUCGGAACUGCCUUUGAUACUGCAAAUCUCGAGUCCGAUAGAGGUGGGUGGAAUUCCUAGUGUAGAGGUGAAAUUCGUAGAUAUUAGGAAGAACACCAGUGGCGAAGGCGGCUCACUGGCCCGGUACUGACGCUGAGGCACGAAAGCGUGGGGAGCAAACAGG